UAAAGCCUAUGAAGAGUUGCAGAAUUAUUGCUUACAUCGUCUGAAAUUAAACGUGAUAAAAAUCUGCAAGCUUUCUGAGGCAAUA
rnacentral:snoRNA from 1 species